GAAAAUGAUGUUUGCAUCUAUUAGAACUUGAUUAGAAAAAACUGAAUUGGAACAAGGAUUUUGUUUGUCUAGCCUGUUUUAAGGCGGGUUGUAGGACAUUCAUUGGGCUAAAUGGUUGGUUUUUGAAGGGUUAUUUUUUAGGCCAGUCGCUCUCUCAAGUUGGUCAAGAUUUCAACUAUUAAAUCUUUGUAUUCGCUUUUUCCAUUAUUGAUGUUGGGAACAAUGAUAACUCGAUGGGGG
rnacentral:lncRNA from 1 species